AUGCCAUGACUCAAGGCAU
rnacentral:snRNA from 1 species